CGAGCCGCGCGGGCGGUCGCGUCGGACCGGCGGCGACGCCGGCCCGCCGAGGAACGUCCGGACUCCGCAGAGCAGGGUGGUAGGUAACACCUACCUGGGGUGACCCACGGGAAAGUGCCACAGAAAACAGACCGCCGGGAGCCGACAGGCCCCCGGUAAGGGUGAAACGGUGGUGUAAGAGACCACCAGCGCCCAGGGUGACCUGGGCGGCUGGGUAAACCCCACCCGGAGCAAGGUCAAGAGGGCCGCCGUCCGCGAGGACGACGGCCUGCGCGAACGUCCGAGGGCUGCUCGCCCGAGUUCGCGGGUAGACCGCACGAGGCCGGUGGCGACACCGGUCCCAGAUGGAUGACCGCCUCCCGGCGGGCCGCGAGGCCCCCGGAGACAGAAUCCGGCGUACAGCGCGACUCGUCUG
rnacentral:RNase_P_RNA from 1 species